rnacentral:misc_RNA from 1 species
GCGGCAGGAGGUGGAGGCGGUGGCGUCGGUGUACGGCGACGACUGCCGCGUGGUGCGCGGCUUCCCUCCCCACCUCGUCGUCCACGUCCGCCCCCGCACCGCCGACGACUCCUCGCAGCAGUUCGUGGAGCUAUUUCUUGGAAUUAAAGCAUCUUCUCAGUAUCCAAAAGCACCUCCUCAUGUUUAUGCCGUGGAAAGUAAGGGCCUUGAUGAGAAUCGACAGGUGUAUCUUAUUAGCAGCAUCCAGAACAAGGCAAGAGAACUUUCCUGCUACCCG